rnacentral:rRNA from 1 species
CCUACGGGAGGCAGCAGUGAGGAAUAUUGGACAAUGGGCGCAAGCCUGAUCCAGCCAUGCCGCGUGAAUGAUGAAGGCCUUAGGGUUGUAAAGUUCUUUUAGUGGGGAAGCGGUACCCACAGAAAAAGCCCCGGCUAACUUCGUGCCAGCAGCCGCGGUAAUACGAAGGGGGCAAGCGUUGUUCGGAAUUACUGGGCGUAAAGCGCGUGUAGGCGGCUUUCAAAGCCAGGGGUGAAAUCCCACAGCUUAACUGUGGAAUUGCCCUUGGAACUCGGAAGCUUGAAUCUGUCAGAGGAUGGUGGAAUUUCUAGUGUAGCGGUGAAAUGCGUAGAUAUUAGAAGGAACACCGGUGGCGAAGGCGACCAUCUGGGGAGAUUGACGCUAAGACGCGAAAGCGUGGGGAGCAAACAGGAUUAGAUACCCUUGUAGUC